rnacentral:lncRNA from 1 species
CCACUUUGGUAAAGGCUUAUAUCAACCCGCCUCAAAACUUCUCGAGUCAAUAUGUAGGCCCCAGUCCAAUUGAUACCAGUCAAAUAGUCGAUUCUAUAAUAACCAAUGUAUUUUAAUCAAUUUUAAAGUUUCACACCUAAACAUAAAAUCUAUUGUUGAUAUAGAGAAAGAAGUGAAUUAAUUAUUCAACUCUCAUCUAUUACUACUGUAAGAUAAUUAAAAAUAAAAAAAUUUAUAUACCUGAGUAAAAAAAAAGUGAGUUAUGAAGAACCAUCGUUGCCCUGCGUGAAUAGUUGCUUUGUUUCCCGAGCAAACAUAAUG